GGUUCGCCGCCGGUGUUGUUUUGAGAAGUUCAUUAAACCUUAUCAUUUAGAGGAAGGAGAAGUCGUAACAAGGUUUCCGUAGGUGAACCUGCGGAAGGAUCAUUG
rnacentral:rRNA from 1 species